rnacentral:rRNA from 1 species
CGGACGGGUGAGUAACGCGUAAGAACUUACCCCUAGGAGAGGGAUACCAACUGGAAACGGUUGUUAAUACCUCGUAUGCUGAGGAGUGAAAGGGUUUCAACCCACCUAGGGAUAGGCUUGCGUCUGAUUAGCUUGUUGGUAAGGUAAAGGCUUACCAAGGCGAUGAUCAGUAGCUGGUCUGAGAGGACAAUCAGCCACACUGGGACUGAGACACGGCCCAGACUCCUACGGGAGGCAGCAGUGAGGAAUUUUCCGCAAUGGGCGAAAGCCUGACGGAGCAAUGCCGCGUGGAGGACGAAAGCCUGUGGGUCGUAAACUCCUUUUCUCAGAGAAGAAGUUCUGACGGUAUCUGAGGAAUAAGCAUCGGCUAACUCCGUGCCAGCAGCCGCGGUAAUACGGAGGAUGCAAGCGUUAUCCGGAAUCAUUGGGCGUAAAGCGUCCUGAGGUGGUUUGUUCAGUCUACUGUGAAAGCUCAGGGCUUAACCUUGAAAAUGCGGUAGAAACUAGCAAGCUAGAGUACAGUAGGGGCAGAGGGAAUUCCCGGUGUAGCGGUGAAAUGCAUAGAUAUCGGGAAGAACACCAAUGGCGAAAGCACUCUGCUGGGCUGAUACUGACACUGAAAGACGAAAGCUAGGGGAGCAAAAGGGAUUAGAUACCCCUGUAGUC